AGAGUUUGAUCCUGGCUCAGAUUGAACGCUGGCGGCACGCUUAACACAUGCAAGUCGAACGGCAGCAGCAUUGAGCUUGCUCAAUGGCUGGCGAGUGGCGAACGGGUGAGUAAUGCGUAGGAAUCUGCCCUAGAGAGUGGGAUAACUCGGGGAAACUCGAGCUAAAACCGCAUAAACUCUGCGGAGAAAAGAUGGCCUCUGAAUAUGCUAUCGCUUUAGGAGGAGCCUACGUCGGAUUAGCUAGUUGGUGGGGUAAAAGCCUACCAAGGCGACGAUCCGUAGCUGGUCUGAGAGGAUGGUCAGCCACACUGGGACUGAGACACGGCCCAGACUCCUACGGGAGGCAGCAGUGGGGAAUAUUGGACAAUGGGGGCAACCCUGAUCCAGCGAUGCCGUGUGUGUGAAGAAGGCCUGCGGGUUGUAAAGCACUUUAGCUAGGGAGGAAAGCCGUUUUUCGAAUAGAGAGACGGGAUGACGUUACCUAGAAAAUAAGCACCGGCUAACUCUGUGCCAGCAGCCGCGGUAAUACAGAGGGUGCAAGCGUUAAUCGGAAUUACUGGGCGUAAAGGGCGCGUAGGCGGAUAAAUCAGUCAGCUGUGAAAGCCCGGGGCUUAACCUGGGAGAGUCAGUUGAUACUGUUUAUCUAGAGUCGAGGAGAGGGGAGUGGAAUUUCCGGUGUAGCGGUGAAAUGCGUAGAUAUCGGAAGGAACACCAGUGGCGAAGGCGGCUCCCUGGACUCAGACUGACGCUGACGCGCGAAAGCGUGGGUAGCGAACAGGAUUAGAUACCCUGGUAGUCCACGCUGUAAACGAUGAGUACUAGCUGUUGUCGAGCGACGACUUGACAGUAGCGCAGCUAACGCACUAAGUACUCCGCCUGGGGACUACGACCGCAAGGUUAAAACUCAAAGGAAUUGAUGGGGCCCGCACAAGCGGUGGAGCAUGGUGUUUAAUUCGAUGCAACGCGAGACUUACCUACCCUUGACAUCCACAGAAUCUUUGUAGAGAAUACGAGAGUGCCUUCGGGAAUUGUGAGACGUGCUGCAUGCUGUUCGUCAGCCCCGUGUCCGUGAAUGUUGGGUUAGUCCCGUACGGAGCGCAUCUUGUUCUAGUACAGCAUAGUGGGGACCUUAGGAGACUGCGUAUAACGGAGAGGUGAUGACUCAGUCCUCAUGGCUUAUGUAGCUCACACGUGUCUACAAUGGUGC
rnacentral:rRNA from 1 species